CCUACGGGAGGCAGCAGUGAGGAAUAUUGGUCAAUGGCCGUAAGGCUGAACCAGCCAAGUCGCGUGAAGGAAGACGGAUCUAUGGUUUGUAAACUUCUUUUAUAGGGGAAUAAAGGUAUCCACGUGUGGAUAUUCGCAUGUACCCUAUGAAUAAGCAUCGGCUAACUCCGUGCCAGCCGCCGCGGUAAUACGGAGGAUGGGAGCGUUAUCCGGAUUUAUUGGGGUUAAAGGGGUCGUAGGUUGUUUUUUAAGUCCGAGGUGAAAGUUUGUGGCUCAACCAUAAAAUUGCCGUUGAAACUGGAAGACUUGAGUGUGUUUGAGGUAGGCGGAAUGCGUGGUGUAGCGGUGAAAUGCAUAGAUAUCACGCAGAACUCCGAUUGCGAAGGCAGCUUACUAAGCCAUAACUGACACUGAAGCACGAAAGCGUGGGGAUCAAACAGGAUUAGAUACCCCUGUAGUC
rnacentral:rRNA from 1 species